AGCCGCUGAGUGGGGAGGAGAGGGACAGAGAGCCUGCUUGCUUUAAAGGAGCAAAGCAGGAGAGGAGAGGAGCCACUUACAUGAGUUGGCUCCUUUAAAGCUAGCAGGCUCUCUGUCCCUCUCUCCUCCCCACUCAGCUGGCU
rnacentral:miRNA from 1 species